rnacentral:rRNA from 1 species
AACGUACGCUGGCGGCACGCCUAACACAUGCAAGUCGAACGAAGUAGCAAUACUUAGUGGCAGACGGGUGAGUAACAUGUAGGUAUCUGCCCUUUGGCCUGGAAUAACACGAGGAAACUUGUGCUAAUACCGGAUAAGUCUUUACGGAGAAAGCUUUAUGCACCAUUGGAUGAGCCUGCACUUGAUUAGUUUGUUGGUGGGGUAAUGGCCUACCAAGACUGUGAUCAAUAGCUGAUUUGAGAGGAUGAUCAGCCACAUUGGGACUGAGACACGGCCCAAACUCCUACGGGAGGCAGCAGUGGGGAAUCUUGCACAAUGGAGGAAACUCUGAUGCAGCGAUGCCGCGUGAGUGAAGAAGGCCCUUGGGUUGUGAAGCUCUUUCGUCGGGGAAGAAAAUGACUGUACCCGAAUAAGAAGGUCCGGCUAACUUCGUGCCAGCAGCCGCGGUAAUACGAAGGGACCUAGCGUAGUUCGGAAUUACUGGGCUUAAAGAGUUCGUAGGUGGUUGAAAAAGUUAGUGGUGAAAUCCCAGAGCUUAGCUCUGGAACUGCCAUUAAAACUUUUCAGCUAGAGUAUGAUAGAGGAAAGCAGAAUUUCUAGUGUAGAGGUGAAAUUCGUAGAUAUUAGAAAGAAUACCAAUUGCGAAGGCAGCUUUCUGGAUCAUUACUGACACUGAGGAACGAAAGCAUGGGUAGCGAAGAGGAUUAGAUACCCUCGUAGUCCAUGCCGUAAACGAUGUGUGUUAGACGUUGGAAAUUUAUUUUCAGUGUCGCAGGGAAACCGAUAAACACACCGCCUGGGGAGUACGACCGCAAGGUUAAAACUCAAAUGAAUUGACGGGGACCCGCACAAGUAGUGGAGCAUGUGGUUUAAUUCGAAGAUACGCGCAGAACCUUACCAACACUUGACAUGUUCGUCGCGACUCUAAGAGAUUAGAGUUUUCGGUUCGGCCGGACGAAACACAGGUGCUGCAUGGCUGUCGUCAGCUCGUGUCGUGAGAUGUUGGGUUAAGUCCCGCAACGAGCGCAACCCUCACUUUUAGUUGCCAUCAUUAAGUUGGGCACUCUGAAAGAACUGCCAGUGAUAAGCUGGAGGAAGGUGGGGAUGACGUCAAGUCCUCAUGGCCCUUACGUGUUGGGCUACACACGUGCUACAAUGGUAUCUACAACAGGAAGCAAGACUGCGAAGUUAAGCAAAUCCCUAAAAGAUACCUCAGUUCGGAUUGCACUCUGCAACUCGAGUGCAUGAAGCUGGAAUUACUAGUAAUCGUGGAUCAGCGUGCCACGGUGAAUGCGUUCCCGGGUCUUGUACACACCGCCCGUCACACCAUGGGAGUUGGUUCUACCUUAAGGCAAGGUUUCAAACCCUUGACCACGGUAUAGUCAGCGACUGGGGUG